CAAUAGCGUAUAUUAAAGUUGUUGCGGUUAAAAAGCUCGUAGUUGGAUCUCGGCAGGCAGGGGGUGGUUCGCUCUUAGCGCUACUGCCCCAUUUGCCUGUGUGAUUGGCGGAGGUUUCGGGGUGCUCUUCGUUGAGUGACCCGGGGCGCCGUCAGGUUUACUUUGAAAAAAUUAGAGUGCUCAAAGCAGGCUUUUCACGCUUGAAUAUUCGUGCAUGGAAUAAUGGAAUAGGAACUCGUUUCUAUUUUGUUGGUUUUCGGAAAUCGAGUUAAUGAUUAAUAGGGACAAUUGGGGGCAUUAGUACUCAGACGACAGAGGUGAAAUUCUUGGACCGUCUGAAGACUAACUACUGCGAAAGCAUUUGCCAAGAGUGUUUUCAUUAA
rnacentral:rRNA from 1 species